rnacentral:tRNA from 1 species
GUGGCUAUAGUUCAAUGGUAGAACACUGGUUUGUGGUACCAGGUACGAGGGUCCGAUUCCCUCUAGCCACCCCG